rnacentral:tRNA from 1 species
GGAGAUGUAGCUCACUGGGAGAGCACAUGCCUAUAACAUGCAAGGCCCUAGGUUCAAUCCCCAGCACUGCCA